UUAGGUUGGAGUCAUUAAAACUAGUUUACAUACACUUAGGUUGGAGUCAUUAAAACUAGUUUACAUACACUUAGGUUGGAGUCAUUAAAACUAGUUCACAUACACUUAGGUUGGAGUCAUUAAAACUAGUUUACAUACACUUAGGUUGGAGUCAUUAAAACUAGUUUACAUACACUUAGGUUGGAGUCAUUAAAACUAGUUUACAUACACUUAGGUUGGAGUCAUUAAAACUAGUUUACAUACACUUAGGUUGGAGUCAUUAAAACUAGUUCACAUACACUUAGGUUGGAGUCAUUAAAACUAGUUUACAUACACUUAGGUUGGAGUCAUUAAAACUAGUUCACAUACACUUAGGUUGGAGUCAUUAAAACUAGUUCACAUACACUUAGGUUGGAGUCAUUAAAACUAGUUUACAUACACUUAGGUUGGAGUCAUUAAAACUAGUUUACA